AAUAAAAUAAAACGAAAAAAUAACUGUUUGGUAAAUAUAUUAUUGAUGGAUUCACCCUUAAGCUAACCUAAAAUAGACCAGGCACAACAAUUUUACAGUUCAGAAGAUUCUACAUUUCAACUUGGUAUACAUAACUAUUUGCAAUGUAAACCAAGUUCUACCGCGUAAUUAUGUAAUGAUUAUUCACUGCUUUUGUAAGUAUGUCCUGUGCCUACAAUUUUGCUGCCCCAGUUUUAAUAUGUACAACUCCAGAGAACUAAACGUAAGUUUUAAGUUCCACUAGUUAGCAAAUGGGCUAGCCAAUAUCAAUAUCCACGUAUGCGCUAAGUGUGAAGCAGCGCAGCAGUGCAUAUUGAUUCAACAAUUUAACCACAAGGCAGUUUAUAAUCUGCAAAUCCAGAAAUGCCUUCUAAAGACUUCUUUUAAAAUAGUAAGAGAUUAGAAAAGUUAUUAACACAUUAUUAGUCCCAGGGACUAAUAAUGUGUUAUACGAAAUAUGAGCGUAUUAGCAUAAUUCAUGCAAACACUUUGGGGCCAAGCCGACAUGGAUAAAACGACGCAUGCAUGUAAUUCUUAAAUGCCUGCUAGAGUUGUACAUUUAUGACGAUAAAAACCCAUAUUACAACGGAGAACUAUAGUUAAAGAAAAAAUAAAACUUACCACAAAGCGCUCCUGAAGAUGCCGCGAAGGCGGUAAAUGCAGCUAGCCAAGUGCAGAGCGUUAGCUGUUCCAGUUCAAAAGUCCGUAACAUACCAUAGCAUGCCCUCCUUUAUCCAGCGUCAAAGGCAAUGCCGCAAAAAACCCGUUGACAAAUGUUUUUAUUUCUGUUCGGAUAUUAACGUUCCACAAGUUUCUUUCGGGGUAAUGAGCGGGCAUUCGCACUCGAAGCGAGGAAUCCAAGAUGGUUGCCAGCACUUCAUAAAGAAACAGGUGGCGCACGUAGGUACGUACGUAGGCACGUAAGUGACGUCAGUGUUAAAACUCAAAUUAUUUGAGCGCAAUGCUAGAAACUAAUCAAUAUAUUCAAGUACUGAUAACUUGAAAAAACAAAAUUGUUCAAACUACUCAAAAAAAUAAAGGUGUAUGAACUUAUAACAGGUUUUUAAGUAGUUGGAACUCAUUUCAUUUAUCAAAGUAUUACUAUUCGGUCUUACAGUGUAGACGGUAAU
ensembl:lncRNA